rnacentral:rRNA from 1 species
UACGGGGGGGGCAAGCGUUGUUCGGAAUUACUGGGCGUAAAGGGCUCGUAGGCGGCCAACUAAGUCAGACGUGAAAUCCCUCGGCUUAACCGGGGAACUGCGUCUGAUACUGGAUGGCUUGAGUUCGGGAGAGGGAUGCGGAAUUCCAGGUGUAGCGGUGAAAUGCGUAGAUAUCUGGAGGAACACCGGUGGCGAAGGCGGCAUCCUGGACCGACGCUGACACUGAGGAGCGAAAGCCAGGGGAGCAAACGGG